GACGAACGCUGGCGGCGUGCUUAACACAUGCAAGUGGAGCGACGAACCGGGCUUCGGCCCGGGGCAGAGCCGCGAACGGGUGAGUAACACGUGGGUUACCUGCCCCGAUGACUGGGACAACCCGGGGAAACCCGGGCUAAUACCGGAUGUGCCCUUCGGGGGAAAGGAAGCUUCGGCCUCCGCAUCGGGAUGGGCCCGCGGCCCAUUCGCUUGUUGGUGGGGUAAUGGCCCACCAAGGCUGCGAUGGGUAGCUGGUCUGAGAGGACGAUCAGCCACACUGGGACUGGGACACGGCCCAGACUCCUACGGGAGGUAGCAGUGGGGAAUCGUGCGCAAUGCGCGAAAGCGUGACGCAGCAACGCCGCGUGGGGGAAGACGGCCUUCGGGUUGUAAACCCCUUUCAGUUGGGACGAAGCUCCGCCGGUGAACAGCCGGCCGGAGUGACGGUACCUUCAGAAGAAGCCCCGGCUAACUACGUGCCAGCAGCCGCCGUAAUAC
rnacentral:rRNA from 1 species